rnacentral:rRNA from 2 species
GAAUUUUAUAUAUUUAUUUAUAGGUUUAUUUAUAAAAGUAGUUAGUAUAAAUAAGAAUAUAUUUAAUUGGGAGGAUUAUUAAAUUUAAUUAACUUUAAUUUUAAUAAAAUAUAAAUUAGUAUUAUUAAUUUUAUUGAAUGAUUUAGAAAUUAAAAAAGAAUUAAUUACCUUAGGGAUAACAGCGUAAUAUUUUUAUAAAGAUCUUAUUAAUAAAAAUGUUUGC